ensembl:lncRNA
ACUGAAGAGCGCGCAGCAGCGCCUCACGCGCCAGGAGCGAGUAUUUGGCCACAAACAAAUAAACAUAGCUCCCAAAAACAGGUAAAGGAGUUUGACUGCAGUUACAUCAGAUGAACACACGGCGGCGGCCGAGUUCCAUCAUUCACCAGAACGAGAGGCAACCUAUGGUUCGUUUACAAACAGCACGUGCAGCUUGAACCCGAUGAAGAGCUUCUUCAUCGCUGGCAAACGAUAAGUUGCAGCUUCGACUCAGUGGAUCACAGUUUGCAGUCAGAUUUGUCCCAGCGCUCGAGAAUCACAGCUUUAUUAGGUCUACUUUUACAGUCUUCCCAGCUAACAAAUCCCCGAGAAGCAGACAUUGAGCUGAAGCAUGAGAGAGCAGUGCGCACUCGACAUGAUAGCUUCAGCUGUGACAGCAUUCUGCUGCUGCGGUCUGGAGCCUCGGGGUCUGGCGGUCGAGGGUUCGAGAUCCACUGUUGGUCAUCAGAGGGAUAAGAAGGCCGGUUCGCGACCUGUCAUAGCCACGGGCGAGUGAGAAUAGCUCAAAGCCUUUGCUUGGGAUUCUGGGAUUGAGAUGUACUGGUGAAGUGAAUUAUUCUCAGAGAUGUUGAGGCCCCUGCAAAUUUCCCAGAAUAAAGCUGUCAUCGAAUCCUUGUCAACGCUGUCACAUGACCAGAGUCUGCAGAUGCUUAGUCAAUUAAUUGGCUGGUAAAUUAAUAUUCUGUGCACGCCAUAUGUUUAAAGUUGUCAUUUAAAGGGAAC